rnacentral:rRNA from 1 species
AAAACUGAGGUGGUAUACGAUGGUUCCGCGUCUGAUUAGCUAGUUGGUGGGGUAAUGGCCUACCAAGGCAACGAUCAGUAGCCGGCCUGAGAGGGUGAACGGCCACAUUGGGACUGAGACACGGCCCAAACUCCUACGGGAGGCGGCAGUGGGGAAUAUUGCACAAUGGGGGAAACCCUGAUGCAGCGACGCCGCGUGAGUGAAGAAGUAUUUCGGUAUGUAAAGCUCUAUCAGCAGGGAAGAAAAACCGACCAUAGGGUCGCUAGACGGUACCUGAUUAAGAAGCCCCGGCUAACUACGUGCCAGCAGCCGCGGUAAUACGUAGGGGGCAAGCGUUAUCCGGAUUUACUGGGUGUAAAGGGAGCGUAGACGGCAGCGCAAGUCUGAAGUGAAAUGCCGGGGCUUAACCCCGGAACUGCUUUGGAAACUGAGCAGCUAGAGUGCAGGAGAGGUAAGUGGAAUUCCUAGUGUAGCGGUGAAAUGCGUAGAUAUUAGGAGGAACACCAGUGGCGAAGGCGGCUUACUGGACUGUAACUGACGUUGAGGCUCGAAAGCGUGGGGAGCAAACAGGAUUAGAUACCCUGGUAGUCCACGCGGUAAACGAUGAUUACUAGGUGUUGGGGGACCAAGGUCCUUCG